rnacentral:rRNA from 1 species
UUGGAGGGCAAGUCUGGUGCCAGCAGCCGCGGUAAUUCCAGCUCCAAUAGCGUAUAUUAAAGUUGUUGCAGUUAAAAAGCUCGUAGUUGAAUUUCGGGGUUAGUAGGUUGGUCAUGCCUCUGGUAUGUACUGGUCUCACUAAUUCCUCCUUCCUGAUGAACCUUAAUGCCAUUAAUUUGGUGUUUUGGGGAAUUUGGACUGUUACUUUGAAAAAAUUAGAGUGUUUAAAGCAAGCUAACGCUUGAAUACAUUAGCAUGGAAUAAUGAAAUAGGACGUUCGAUCCUAUUUUGUUGGUUUCUAGGAUUGACGUAAUGAUUAAUAGGGAUAGUUGGGGGCAUUAGCAUUCAAUUGUCAGAGGUGAAAUUCUUGGAUUUAUUGAAGACUAACUACUGCGAAAGCAUUUGCCAAGGAUGUUUUCAUUAAUCAAGAACGAAAGUUAGGGGACCGAAGACGAUCAGAUACCGCCGUAGUCUUAACCAUAAACUAUGCCGACUAGGGAUCGGAUGAUGUUAAUUUUUUAAUGACUCAUUCGGCGCCUUACGGGAAACCAAAGUGUUUGGGUUC